CGGGGAGUAGCGCAGCUUGGUAGCGCAUCUGCAUGGGGUGCAGGGGGUCGCAGGUUCGAAUCCUGUCUCCCCGACCA
rnacentral:tRNA from 3 species